GGAUCAGAAUGCCACGGUGAAUACGUUCCCGGGCCUUGUACACACCGCCCGUCACACCAUGGGAGUGGGUUGCAAAAGAAGUAGGUAGCUUAACCCUCGGGAGGGCGCUUACCACUUUGUGAUUCAUGACUGGGGUGAAGUCGUAACAAGGUAACCGUAGGGGAACCUGCGGUUGGAUCACCUCCUUACC
rnacentral:rRNA from 1 species